GCUUGACUUCUUGGCAUCGUAGU
rnacentral:siRNA from 1 species